rfam:Clostridium halophilum strain M1 genome assembly, contig: G325DRAFT_scaffold00020.20
UCCACCGUGAAGUGGAAUCUGAAGGAAGCCAGCAGCAAACUUUCGGUCUGACGAACAGAAACUACAUAAAAGGCAUACAUAUGCUGGGUAAGGUUGCUAAACAAACUGAGGUACGGUGGUGUGAGAGGUCGGUAGAUAAAUUAAUUAUC